UCUCUGGUAGUAUAUCGGCUAGUACACGCACCUGUCAUGAAGGUGUUGUUAUUAACACCGCGCGAAAGCUGGGUUCGACUCCCAGCCAGAGAG